rnacentral:rRNA from 1 species
UACGGGGGGGGCAAGCGUUGUUCGGAAUUACUGGGCGUAAAGGGCUCGUAGGUGGCCAACUAAGUCAGACGUGAAAUCCCUCGGCUUAACCGGGGAACUGCGUCUGAUACUGGAUGGCUUGAGUUUGGGAGAGGGAUGCGGAAUUCCUGGUGUAGCGGUGAAAUGCGUAGAUAUCAGGAGGAAUACCAGUGGCGAAGGCGGCAUCCUGGCCAUGUCCUGACGCUCAGGGGCGAAAGCGUGGGGAGCAAACCGG